rnacentral:rRNA from 1 species
GGCUUAUUGAAUAAUAAUUUUAAGUCAAUUCUGCCCAAUGAUUAAAAAAUUUAAUGGCUGCAGUAUAAUUGACUGUACAAAGGUAGCAUAAUCAAUUGUUUUUUAAUUAAGAACUGGAAUGAAAGAGUUAAUGAGAUAUAUACUGUCUCAUAUAUAUAUAAUUAAUUUAAAUUUUUAGUUAAAAUGCUAAAAUUAAUUUAUGGGACGAUAAGACCCUAUAGAAUUUAAUAUUAAUAUAUUGAUUAUAAUUUAAUUAUUAAAUAUUAAUAUUUUGUUGGGAGGAUAAGUAAAUUUAUUAAACUUUAUUUUAAAUAUUAACUUAAAUUAAAGAAUAAAUAUUUUUGAUCUUUUAAUAAAAAUUAAAAGAAUAAAUUACCUUAGGGAUAACAGCGUAAUAUCUUUUUAAAGAUCAUAUUGAAAAAGAUGAUUGCGACCUCGAUGUUGAAUUAAGAUAAAUUUUAAAUGAAGAAAUUUAAUAAUUAAGUCUGUUCGACUUUUAAAAUCUUACAUGAUUUGAGUUCAAAUCGACGUGAGU